GAUACGGGCUUUAUUGUUUUAUGGGCUUUAUGUUUUGCUUAAGGGACCAAGCCGAUAUGGAACACACUAAGCGUCUCCGUAAGCGUCGAUUGAUCUGAUUUUAGGGUUCAUCCCACUUUUGUUUUCCGUCAUUCAUGAGAUCGGACGCUGCCCCUCCACCGUUCAAGUGCGAUUGCUCCGGUUCUGGGAAGCUAGGAACGUCCGGUGGCGACGAAUUCAUGGGAGUGGAUUGCUCCUAUUGGAUUCACAGGUUGUUAUGUAUAAAGCUUGCGUUCAUAAUUCAAAAAAAAAAAAUCUGGAGGUAAGCCUCGCCGCGCCUCGGUAGCAUGCUUCUAGCACAAAGAAGCUCCCACCUGAGUAAAUCUUUAUCGGAGUCUGGAUGCACACUUCGUGAUGUCAUGAAUUCAGUGACACAUUGACCUUAAGUAACGUGAAGAUGAUUUGCCAACAUAAAGACAUCAUACGUCAAGAAAAAUUCAAGAAAGCAGUGCAGUGUGAGAAGUCAGGCAACAACAUUGAUCUAUAAGAACGUUGAGGCAUAUCAAGUCGUGGAUUGUAAGUGGAAGCAAAAGGAUUUUGGUAAUUUUGGUUAGUGACUCAAAUCUUUUACCUUCUCUUCAUAUGGCUUAUUUAGCUGGAUCAAAAGCGUUCAACAUCAAUGUUUCCGUCUCCUCCAGUUGAAUAUUUUAUGUACUAUGGAUGCUACAGUUAAAUUGAAUUACAGAAGCAGAGGUUCUAGGCUUUUAGCUAUCAAGACACUCAAUUGGAUAGGACUUAGCUGGCAGCAUCUUUGAAUGAUCUUUAUACGAACGACAUGGAAAAGCUUUCUGGGUCAAUCAAACGCAUAUGGUACAAAUUGAUACUCCACUGAAUGAGCGGAACGCAAGGCUUCUAAUGAUGGUUCUACUUCUCCACCACAAGGGAGCUGCGAAAAUAGGGUCAAACUUCCAAUGAAUUAAGGUAAAUCAUAAGAGAAACCUCAUCCAAACCAUUGUGUCAACAGAGAAUAGAAGUUCUAAUUUUUGGAAUCAGCUUUCCAUUUAUCAUGCAGGUCUGAUUAAUGUUUUUGUCACAGGUUGUUCUCAACUCUGAUUGUGCUAUGUACAAUACAAGUGAUUAUCUCAAGCUGUCUAAUUAUUUCUCUAACGAUCUGUUUCUUUGUUGAGGGAAGUAGUCGAAGAAGAUUUCACAGCCUUUGUUGGGAGACCAAAUAAGAGACCAAGAACUAACUGUUCAGAAGCAAAUGAAUAGGAAGUAACACAUGCUCUUAUGACACCCUGAGGCUGCGGAAACAUGAUUAAAGGUGUCAUUCCUUGCCUCCUUGGUUUCUUCAAUUUUUUUUUUGGUUUCUUCGGUUUGUCCACGAAAUACUUUGUGUUCUACUUUUGAAUCUUUUCAGUUGUAAAAAGGAAGAAUAAUAUAGCAAUGUACCCAUUUUAAUAAAUGAAAAUGUAAUCUCCCAUGGCAA